rnacentral:rRNA from 1 species
UGGCGGACGGGUGAGUAAUGUCUGGGAAACUGCCCGAUGGAGGGGGAUAACUACUGGAAACGGUAGCUAAUACCGCAUAACGUCGCAAGACCAAAGAGGGGACCUUCGGGCCUCUUGCCAUCGGAUGUGCCCAGAUAGGAUUAGCUAGUAGGUGGGGUAACGGCUCACCUAGGCGACGAUCCCUAGCUGGUCUGAGAGGAUGACCAGCCACACUGGAACUGAGACACGGUCCAG